AGAGAGAGACAUGCGCGCAUAUCAAUAAGCGGAGGAAAAGAAACUAACAAGGAUUCCCUUAGUAACGGCGAGUGAAGCGGGAAGAGCUCAAAUUUGAAAUCUUCAAGGUUCUACCUUGACGAAUUGUAGUUUAAAGAAGUGUUUUCUGCUGAAGUUUUGGUAAAAGUUCUUUGGAAUAGGACAUCAUAGAGGGUGAGAAUCCCGUAUUUGACCAUUAUUUUCAGCUUUGUGAUACACUUUCAAAGAGUCGGAUUGUUUGGGAAUGCAGUCCAAAAUGGGUGGUAAAUUUCAUCUAAAGCUAAAUAUUGGCGAGAGACCGAUAGCGAACAAGUACCGUGAGGGAAAGAUGAAAAGAACUUUGAAAAGAGAGUUAAACAGUACGUGAAAUUGUCAAAAGGGAAGCGUUUGACACCAGUGUUGUUUUCUCGAAAAUCAAUUAAAAAUGGCUCGAUUUUGUAUUGUUGAGACCUUAAAAGCUCACUGUACAUUUUUCGUGUCCUUUUUUAAUGCACUUUUCGUUUAACAAGUCAAAACAUCAGUUUCUUUUGUUGUAAAAGGGUCAUUGGAAGGUGGCUUUCUUUUCGGAGAAAGUGUUUAUAGCCUUUGGCCUCUGCAAUCGGAGAGACUGAGGUCUGCAGCGUAGACUCUUCGGGGUUAGAUACAUUUGUGCUAAGUUAUAGCUUUUUAUAGACAACUUGUUGACUAUAAUUAGUCUUGUAGCUUACUCGCUUAUGCUAUUUUACCUACGCUUAGGAUGUUGAAGAUGUAGCACAUCAU
rnacentral:rRNA from 1 species